AUGUCUCGCUCCGGGUGCCUCGCGGUGCUGCUGCUCCUGGUGCUCGCCGCCAGGGCGGCCGCGGCGAUCAAGCCACUGGAGGAGGAGCCGCAGGGCGGCAAGUGGACGGACCAGCUCACGGCGGGAGCGGCGAUCAAGCCGUCGGAGGAGCAGCCGCAGGACGGCAAGCUGGCGGACCACGUCGCGGCGGGAGCGGCGAUCAGGCCAUCGGAGGAGCAGCCGCAGGACGGCAAGCGCCUCACGGCGAGAGCGGCGAUCACGCCAUCGGAGGAGCAGCCGCAGGACGGCAAGCGCCUCACGGCGAGAGCGGCGAUCACGCCAUCGGAGGAGCAGCCGCAGGGCGGCGUGCGGGCGGGCCACCUCACGGCGGCCAAGGGCCUGCUGGGGGAGGAGCCCGCCGCGCGGCUGGCGUACGUCCGGACGGAGGAGAAGAAGGACAGCGAGGAGGCGGCGACGAUGCCGUUGGAGGGGAUGAAGCCCGGCGGCGGCGUGGCGAUCCAGCAGGGCGGCGACCCGGGCACGGUGCCGUCGGCGUCGUCGGGGAGCGGCGAGCACGCGAAGGAGGAGAGCGGCGAGCACGCCGGCAAGGAGGGGAGCAGCAGCACCAGCAAGGAGGGGGAGAAGUCGGCCAAGAGCUGCCUGACCAAGGAGGAGUGCCACAAGAAGCGCCUGCUCUGCGGCAAGGGCUGCACCAUGUCCGCCCACGCCAAGUGCGCCGCCAAGUGCUCCAAGUCCUGCAUCGCCACCUGCUAG
rnacentral:rRNA from 1 species